GGGCCCGCACAAGCGGUGGAGUAUGUGGUUUAAUUCGAUGCAACGCGAAGAACCUUACCAGGGUUUGACAUCCUGCGAAUCUCUUGGAAACAGGAGAGUGCCUUCGGGAACGCAGUGACAGGUGGUGCAUGGCUGUCGUCAGCUCGUGUCGUGAGAUGUUGGGUUAAGUCCCGCAACGAGCGCAACCCACGUCUUUAGUUGCCAGCAUUUAGUUGGGCACUCUAGAGAGACCGCCGGUGAUAAACCGGAGGAAGGUGUGGAUGACGUCAAGUCAUCAUGGCCCUUACGGCUAGGGCUUCACACGUGCUACAAUGGUCGGUACAGAGGGUUGCGAAAUCGCGAGGUGGAGCCAAUCCCAAAAAGCCGAUCUCAGUUCGGAUUGGAGUCUGCAACUCGACUCCAUGAAGUCGGAAUCGCUAGUAAUCG
rnacentral:rRNA from 1 species